UUCCAUCUGGAAGAAGUCUGGAGACAGGUGCUGCAUGGCUGUCGUCAGCUCGUGUCGUGAGAUGUUGGGUUAAGUCCCGCAACGAGCGCAACCCUUGCCUUUAGUUGCCAGCAGUUCGGCUGGGCACUCUAAAGGGACUGCCGGUGUUAAACCGGAGGAAGGUGGGGAUGACGUCAAGUCCUCAUGGCCUUUAUGACCAGGGCUACACACGUACUACAAUGACCGAUACAAAGGGCAGCGACACUGCGAGGUGAAGCCAAUCCCGUAAAAUCGGUCUCAGUCCGGAUUGGAGUCUGCAACUCGACUCCAUGAAGUUGGAAUCGCUAGUAAUCGUGGAUCAGCAUGCCACGGUGAAUACGUUCCCGGGCCUU
rnacentral:rRNA from 1 species